rnacentral:rRNA from 1 species
AUUGAACGCUGGCGGCAGGCCUAACACAUGCAAGUCGAGCGCGCGGCGGACGGGUGAGUAAUGUAUCUGGAUCUGCCUGAUGUCGGGGUAUAACUCCUGUAAACGGUAUCUAAUACCCCAUCCCAUCAGAUGAACCCAUAUGGGAUUAGCUUGUAGGUGAGGUAACGGCUCACCUAGGCGACGAUCCCUAGCUGGUCUGAGAGGAUGAUCAGCAACACUGGGACUGAGAAACGGACCAGACUCCUACGGGAGGCAGCAGUGGGGAAUAUUGCACAAUGGGCGCAAGCCUGAUGAAGCCAUGACGCGUGGAUGAAGAAGGCCUUCGGGUUGUAAAGUACUUUCAGUCGGGAGGCGUUACCGACAGAAGAAGCACCGGCUAACUCCGUGCCAGCAGCCGCGGUAAUUC